rnacentral:rRNA from 1 species
AGAGUUUGAUCCUGGCUCAGGAUGAACGCUGGCGGCGUGCCUAAUACAUGCAAGUCGAGCGAACAGACGAGGAGCUUGCUCCUCUGACGUUAGCGGCGGACGGGUGAGUAACACGUGGAUAACCUACCUAUAAGACUGGGAUAACUUCGGGAAACCGGAGCUAAUACCGGAUAAUAUAUUGAACCGCAUGGUUCAAUAGUGAAAGACGGUUUUGCUGUCACUUAUAGAUGGAUCCGCGCCGCAUUAGCUAGUUGGUAAGGUAACGGCUUACCAAGGCAACGAUGCGUAGCCGACCUGAGAGGGUGAUCGGCCACACUGGAACUGAGACACGGUCCAGACUCCUACGGGAGGCAGCAGUAGGGAAUCUUCCGCAAUGGGCGAAAGCCUGACGGAGCAGUGCCGCGUGAGUGAUGAAGGUCUUCGGAUCGUAAAACUCUGUUAUUAGGGGAGAACAAAUGUGUAAGUAACUAUGCACGUCUUGACGGUACCUAAUCAGAAAGCCACGGCUAACUACGUGCCAGCAGCCGCGGUAAUACGUAGGUGGCAAGCGUUAUCCGGAAUUAUUGGGCGUAAAGCGCGCGUAGGCGGUUUUUUAAGUCUGAUGUGAAAGCCCACGGCUCAACCGUGGAGGGUCAUUGGAAACUGGAAAACUUGAGUGCAGAAGAGGAAAUUGGAAUUCCAUGUGUAGCGGUGAAAUGCGCAGAGAUAUGGAGGAACACCCAGUGGCGAAGGCGACUUUCUGGUCUGUAACUGACGCUGAUGUGCGAAAGCGUGGGGAUCAAACAGGAUUAGAUACCCUGGUAGUCCACCGCCGUAAACGAUGAGUGCUAAGUGGUAGGGGGUUUCCGCCCCUU